rnacentral:rRNA from 1 species
AUUGAACGCUGGCGGUAUGCUUAACACAUGCAAGUCGAACGGUAGCAGGCCUUCGGGCGCUGACGAGUGGCGGACGGGUGAGUAACGCGUAGGAAUCUGCCUGUUAGUGGGGGACAACGUGGGGAAACCCACGCUAAUACCGCAUACGCCCUACGGGGGAAAGCGGGGGCUCUUCGGACCUCGCGCUAACAGAUGAGCCUGCGUUAGAUUAGCUAGUUGGUAGGGUAAAGGCCUACCAAGGCGACGAUCUAUAGCUGGUCUGAGAGGACGAUCAGCCACACUGGGACUGAGACACGGCCCAGACUCCUACGGGAGGCAGCAGUGGGGAAUAUUGGACAAUGGGCGCAAGCCUGAUCCAGCAAUACCGCGUGUGUGAAGAAGGCCCUAGGGUUGUAAAGCACUUUCAAUGGGGAGGAAAACCUGCCGGCCAAUACCCGGUAGCUUGACAUUACCCAUAGAAGAAGCACCGGCUAACUCCGUGCCAGCAGCCGCGGUAAUACGGAGGGUGCGAGCGUUAAUCGGAAUUACUGGGCGUAAAGCGUGCGUAGGCGGUUCGUUAAGUCAGAUGUGAAAGCCCCGGGCUCAACCUGGGAACUGCAUUUGAAACUGGCGAACUAGAGUUGAGUAGAGGGGAGUGGAAUUUCAGGUGUAGCGGUGAAAUGCGUAGAUAUCUGAAGGAACACCAGUGGCGAAGGCGACUCCCUGGACUCAAACUGACGCUGAGGUACGAAAGCGUGGGUAGCAAACAGGAUUAGAUACCCUGGUAGUCCACGCCGUAAACGAUGUCAACUAGCCGUUGGUCCUAUUUACAGGAUUAGUGGCGCAGCUAACGCAUUAAGUUGACCGCCUGGGGAGUACGGCCGCAAGGUUG